ACGGAAGGAGCAGUGGGGAAUAUUGGACAAUGGGGGAAACCCUGAUCCAGCGACGCCGCGUGAGUGAAGAAGUAUUUCGGUAUGUAAAGCUCUAUCAGCAGGGAAGAUGAUGACGGUACCUGACUAAGAAGCCCCGGCUAACUACGUGCCAGCAGCCGCGGUAAUACGUAGGGGGCAAGCGUUAUCCGGAUUUACUGGGUGUAAAGGGAGCGUAGGCGGUCAGACAAGUCAGAUGUGAAAGCCCGGGGCUUAACUCCGGGACUGCAUUUGAAACUGUAUGACUAGGGUACUGGAGAGGCAAGCGGAAUUCCUAGUGUAGCGGUGAAAUGCGUAGAUAUUAGGAAGGACACCGGUGGCGAAGGCGGCUUGCUGGACAGAGACUGACGCUGAGGCUCGAAAGCGUGGGGAGCAAACAGGAUUAGAUACCCUGGUA
rnacentral:rRNA from 1 species